rnacentral:rRNA from 1 species
GACGAACGCUGGCGGCGUGCCUAAUACAUGCAAGUCGAGCGGACUGAUUAAGAGCUUGCUCUUAUGACGUUAGCGGCGGACGGGUGAGUAACACGUGGGCAACCUGCCCUGUAGAUCGGGAUAACACCGAGAAAUCGGUGCUAAUACCGGGUAAUAUCUGAGAUCACAUGAUCUUAGGUUAAAAGAUGGCUCCGGCUAUCACUACAGGAUGGGCCCGCGGCGCAUUAGCUAGUUGGUAAGGUAAUGGCUUACCAAGGCGACGAUGCGUAGCCGACCUGAGAGGGUGAUCGGCCACACUGGGACUGAGACACGGCCCAGACUCCUACGGGAGGCAGCAGUAGGGAAUCUUCCGCAAUGGACGAAAGUCUGACGGAGCAACGCCGCGUGAGUGAUGAAGGGUUUCGGCUCGUAAAGCUCUGUUGUUAGGGAAGAAACAGUACCGAACGAACUAGGUCGGUACCUUGACGGUACCUAACCAGAAAGCCACGGCUAACUACGUG